UCCAACCGCAAGGAGGGGAGCGCCGAAGGCAGGGCUGGUGACUGGGGUGAAGUCGUAACAAGGUAGCCGUACUGGAAGGUGCGGCUGGAUCACCUCCUUUUAGGGAGACCUACCCACUCAGGCAACCGGUAUAGUUUAGGUUGGUGAGUCGGGUCAUCCCAAGGUCAAGCAAGGGCAGUUUUUGCUGAACUUUCAAACCUAGGGUCCGGGGCACGGGCU
rnacentral:misc_RNA from 1 species